CAUCUGCUUCUUCCUCCUCUUCUCCUUCCUCUUCUUGGCAGUCCAGGGCUGCCAAAGCAUGCCAGAUCCUGAUGGAGCUGAAGGGCCCAUGAUAAGAGCUGGUAUGCUCAUCAUCCAGGUGAUAACUGUUCCCCAGAUCUUCUAUUGACCAUACUCCAAUGUCUUCAUAGAGAUAUAAAUGGCAUUGGGGACAAAAUCAGGCUCUGUGGCACCCCAUAGAUCAACUGCAAGGAAGCUAAGGCACAGUCACCCAUCAGACUCUCUGGAAUUGACUAAAACCACUGUAACAUAGUGCCCCAACCUACAGGGUCUAAUCAGAAGGUUAUUGUGGGUAAUGGUAUCCAGAGCCAUUGAGAGCUCUAGGAGAAUCAAUAAGGUCCCAUCCCCCCUGUCAUUCUCCUUCCCCCUAAGAAGGUGAUCAGGGUGACCGAGGCCAAUUCUGUCCUCCAAGUGGGUCUGGACCCUGACUGUAAUGGGUCAAGAUAAUUAGCUUCAUCCAAGAGUAGACCAUCUGCAGUAGAACCACCAAGACCCUCUCAGUCACCUUGCCCAGAAAAUGUGCAUUGGCAACCAGGCAGUAGUUGGCAUAAAUGUGUGGUUCCAGGUGAGUUUUCUUCAGGUAUACCUGCACCACUACCUCCUUGGGCUAGCAGGGACCAUCACAUCAUGCAGCAAAGUGUUUGCCAUGCCCUGGAUACAUCCAUAAGCCUGAAUUUGUGGGGCCACCUAUAAAUAAGCCUGGUAAAUUCAUUUGGCUGUGUUAGGUGAAGCAGUAAAUUAGCACUGCUUUAAAUUCAUUCCGUAAUAUGACAUUUUUUUAUUUAUUUUGUACAAAUAAUUAAAUCAGAAAUUUUCUAGGUAUCUUUUUACUGCGUGGUUGCAGUCUUCUACCACAUAAACACACUGAUGCUGUAGAGAGGGGUUUGUCCAGCAAAGGUGAUACAGAGAGUAAGAGGAGAUGGUGGUGAUAAUGAUGAUGAUUCGUAACAUUGCUUUAGAGUCAAUUGCGCAGGAGGGGCUGUGCAGAUACAGAAUGGAAAGAAGAAUCAGCUUGUGCCUUGAGGGCUUGCUGUCUCAUUUGCUCCAGAGGAACCUAAUUGAAGAUCCAAGUUCACUUCCAAAUGAAAUAAAGCCUGAAUUCCCCAUAGGCACCAGCAGGCUUCAUCACAGAAGCAUAUCUCAUAGCCUUUCCACGUACUAAAUAUCUAUUUAAUUCCUGUCUCACCUGUGACAUCAGCACCACACACAGCUGGGAAUCAGUGAAGGCACUUGCAAUUCUAAAAAUAUCCCAGGCAGCAGAGUGUGGAACUGCACUGCUUUGGAAUAUGUGCGGUGGAAAAUGUUGCAUUAAUCCCUGGAGUUGGAUGCUGCAGCUAUGGCAAGUGGAUGGAGCUUGUUGGGUGUUGCCUAUUCCCAUUGGCCACUACUUGUGACCAAAAAAGAAAGAAAGAAAGAAAGAAAGAAAGAAAGAAAGAAAGAAAGAAAUGUACAUUCUUGGCUGCAGGUAGCAGAUUUUGAAAUAUUAAAAGGCAGCAAAUUGUCAAUUAUUUUGCUAUAUUUUUACUGUUUGGAUUAUCUCCCUCAGGCACUAAAAUAUAGUGGGCUGCCUCUUCCCACAUGUUUUGACUUGACCUACAGCUUGUUAAGUAGUGUGUGUUUGCCAUGAAAUUACAAGCCCACAAGGGUUCAGCAUGAGUUAUUUGAAUGUUGCUGUGCUGUUUUGCUUUUUUUAAAAAAACCAACAACCAACAACUCACUUUUAUUUGUUGUGUGUGAAAGUCCUACAAGUCUAGGCAUAUCUGUGGUUCUGCAAUACAUAUAUUCUCUUAUUAAAAUUAAUUGCAUGGAUUACACAAA